rnacentral:rRNA from 1 species
UACGUAGGGGGCAAGCGUUGUCCGGAUUUAUUGGGCGUAAAGAGCGUGUAGGCGGCUUUACAGGUCCGUUGUGAAAACUCGAGGCUCAACCUCGAGACGCCGGUGGAAACCGUAAGGCUAGAGUCCGGAAGAGGAGAGUGGAAUUCCUGGUGUAACGGUGAAAUGCGCAGAUAUCAGGAGGAACACCCGUGGCGAAAGCGGCUCUCUGGGACGGUACUGACGCUGAGGAGCGAAAGCGUGGGGAGCGAACAGG